AUGCAGGAAGCGCUCAUCUCUCCGGCCAACGCCGACCGCCUCCGCUCGGCCUUCGAGCUCAAGCCGUACGCCUUCGGGGACCAGCGCCUCUCCUGCUCGCCGCGCUACCUCCCGGGCGGCGACGACGGCCUGUACCGCUGCUCCUCCCCCUUCAGCCCCAGCCUGGGCUUCUCCUCGCCGUCGCCGCUCGCCACGUCCGUCUCGCUCUCGCCGUCCUCCUCCGGCUCCCUCGUCGACGACGGCGACUACGACGGCGCGGCCGCCGCCGACGCCACCGGCCACCGGCUCCAGCUCGCGCGGCUCGCGCUGCAGUACCAGGAGGUGGCCGAUCGCUACGAGCUCUGCCUCUCCCACCUCGCCGAGGCAGUCGACGAGGCGGCCAUCCUCCGCCGCGAGAACGCCGAGCUCCGCGUGGCCAACAGCGACCUCGCGCGCCGCGUCGCGCUGCUCGGCGGCAAGGAGGCCGCCGCCGUCGUCAUCGCUGACGAGAUACGCCGGUUCCGCCUCGGCGAGCACAAGGGUGCCUCCAAGCAGCGCGCGCCCGAGAAGCUCGCCGUGCUGCCGAAGAGCAUCUCCGUCCGGUCGAAUGACUACCUCAAGAUGAACCAGGCGACACCGGCAGCCGCCACGCCGGCCGCAUACAACCGCAAGCCGAGCUCGCAGCGCGCGUACGCGGGACCGGGAGCGGACGGCGGCAAGAAAGGCGAGGAGCAGAAGACGAAGCAGGACGCGGCGGGGGAGCUGGACGUGUACAACCAGGGCAUGUUCAAGACAGAGCUGUGCAACAAGUGGGAGGAGACGGGGGCGUGCCCCUACGGCGAUCAGUGCCAGUUCGCGCACGGCGUCUCCGAGCUCCGCCCCGUCAUCCGCCACCCGCGGUACAAGACCGAGGUCUGCCGCAUGGUGCUCAACGGCGAGGUCUGCCCCUACGGCCACCGCUGCCACUUCCGCCACUCGCUCACGGCCGCCGAGCGCCUCCUCCGCAGCCGUUGA
rnacentral:rRNA from 1 species